GGUGCUUGCGUACUUUUGGCGCUACCGUAACGCGGAAAAUUUUAAAAUUGAACUAGAAUGGUCUAG
ensembl:ncRNA F43C11.15 ncRNA